rnacentral:rRNA from 1 species
AUUGAACGCUGGCGGCAGGCCUAACACAUGCAAGUCGAGCGGAUGAAGGGAGCUUGCUCCUGGAUUCAGCGGCGGACGGGUGAGUAAUGCCUAGGAAUCUGCCUUGUAGUGGGGGAUAACGUCCGGAAACGGGCGCUAAUACCGCAUACGUCCUGAGGGAGAAAGUGGGGGAUCUUCGGACCUCACGCUAUCAGAUGAGCCUAGGCCGGAUUAGCUAGUUGGUGGGGUAAAGGCUUACCAAGGCGACGAUCCGUAACUGGUCUGAGAGGAUGAUCAGUCACACUGGAACUGAGACACGGUCCAGACUCCUACGGGAGGCAGCAGUGGGGAAUAUUGGACAAUGGGCGAAAGCCUGACCCAGCAAUGCCGCGUGUGUGAAGAAGGUCUUCGGAUUGUAAAGCUCUGUAAGUAGGGAGGAAGGGCAGUAAGUUAAUACCUGGCUGUUUUGACGUUACCAACAGAAUAAGCACCGGCUAACUUCGUG